rnacentral:lncRNA from 1 species
CGCCUUAACUAUACGAUUACGUUGAACCUUUUUACAAAAAUCGACGUCUUAUCUAAGGAGAAGAUAACAGUCAAGUUCGGAAGAUAAAUGUCAAGUUUCAAAGGAUAAACACCAAUAUCGGAAAUGGCGAACAUACACGAGAAUAGGAAACGGAAAUGAGCACGCAAAACUGAGAAGGGACAAAACUGCAUCUUCGAGAGAACUAAGGUAUUUCCGACUUGAAAUUUUUGAAAUCAGACUUGGAAUUUUCGUAGGAAAUUACUUUGAGGCUGCCAUAGAACUUUAGGGAACGUAA